CACGCCGUAAACGAUGAUAACUAUCUGUUCGGGCUCAUAGAGCUUGAGUGGAGCAGCUAACGCAUUAAGUUAUCCGCCUGGGGAGUACGGUCGCAAGAUUAAAACUCAAAGGAAUUGACG
rnacentral:rRNA from 1 species